GUGUUCACAGCCUGGCUGGACCCUUAAAAAGUAAUGAAUCUGAAACAUUUAGUACUACUUCUGUUAGACUCGUGAACAGUUAUUCAGCCUGCCAUGGUCACUCAAUAUAUGCAGCUGGAAAGCAUUAGAAAUGCAACUUGGGUUAAAAAUAAAGUCUCCAGGGCAUGGCUCCUCCUCCAUAGGAAAUCUGAGAACUUUGGCAGCUUUAGACUCCACAAUGUAAUAUCUGAUUUCUUCAGUAAAGGACAACAAUCUGACCAUGUAGUCUCAUAUUCUGAACAGAGGAACACAAUUCUGUCUACUGAGGUCAUAGUUUAUUCUUGUUGGAACAGACAUCAAGAGGAACAGAUCACUCCCUGGCACACUCCAGACUGUUUCAGCCUGUGCAAUUAAGGAAUUCUUUAACCAUGGAUAUCAUCAAGGAGCCUCUGCAGCUAUACACAGGACAAUAUCAUCUGCAAACAAAAGCUUCUAGAGAAUCUCACAGUCUCUAGAAAUCCAUCUGAGCAUACCUACCUGCUUUAUGCCUCUCCUUAUGCUGAUAACCAGAUCUUGGACUAAGGAUCAGGAUGCUUUCAACAAUCGCAUAUUCAAUCGAGUUGAAAUGUAUGGAAAUGGAAAAACAAAUUAGAAUACAAAAUAAAUUCUUUAUCUAUUACA